UUGUUCUAUUCAUCAUGACCUCAUAGAGCCUUUUCUUUUUCUCAGGUCUCAUUUACUUCCUCUUUUUUUUUUCCUUUUCCUUUUCCUAUACCUUCCUUUGGUCCUUAUAAGUAUCCAAAUUGCCCUAAAAUAACUUCUGCACAUGCAGCAUUAGGAAGCAGUGUUUCCCAACCACUACAUUUGAAUGAUUCAUUCCUCUGAGGACCCUCAAGUACUUCAGAAGAACUAAAAAAUGAAUAUCACGUUACACCAAAGAAGAAAUGAAAGCUGCCAGUGUCUUCUGAAGUUAAACAGGCUCCUGUUCUUUGACCCAGCAAUCCAAUCCUAGGUAUUUAAUUGUUCCCUGAGGUUUAAGGCAGUGGACUGAGGAUAAUACAGGCUCCAGCUUUCAUUAGUUCAAUGGAUGAUGCUGUUCAAUCCAUACUGUUUGGGGCAUUUGUUGAAAAUGUCAUUCAGAAGAUAUCAACACUUUCUGAGUCAUGGUUUGAUUGAAUUUAUAGAAUUAUGUGAUAGAAACCACAUUCUUCACAAAAGUCACAAGGCAAUAAUGACGACAAGGGUUGAAGAUGAAAGAUGCCAAAUAUUCUGAUCAAUUCAAUAAGGCAAAAAGACAAGUUAAUUCACUCAGUGCUCCAGGCAUCAACUUCAUAGAAGGAAUGGAAAUUCUACCUGUUUCCUAAAGAACUACAGAGGACUCCAACUAAGCCACUAUGCUGGGAGCAGAGAUGGGGAAGAAUUGCUGAGUCAUGAUAAGAGAAGGCACUAUAGGAAGAAACAGUGAACUCUUAACAGCUGGGCAAGCAAUGAGUCAGCCUGGGUGGUCACUCCAGAUGCUCCCGGACACAUCCCAAUUUCUAGGAUGCCUUGCUGAUAUGUACUUCUCAAGGAAAAAAAAUGGUCACUAUAUAUAUUAAACUGACAGAGGAAAAGUGGAAAUAACAUAUGUCUUAGAUCUCCAUUUUGGCGAAGACAGGCUUCAGCUGUAAAGAAUCGAAGAAUAAAAUGAGACCAACAAAGUGAAAUCAUUUCUGAACCCAGUAACUAUUACUGCAGCACUGAUCUGCUGAACCGGCAGAGGAGUCCAAAAGAAAAAUCUACUCAUCCCAAAUGAGCAUUUACUCUCAAUAUGAUGUGUUUCACUAGCUCCUUUCCUCUAAAGCACUUUUUUUCCCUUGCAUUGUUUUUUUUUCUAAUUAUAUGUGUGGCUUUAGACAAAUUAUUCCAAUUCUCUGCACUUCGAGUUUAUCAAAUAAAAAUCAAGAAUAAUCUCUA
rnacentral:lncRNA from 1 species